rnacentral:rRNA from 1 species
AUGUGACCCCAGGAUGGGCGAGGCUACCCGCUGAGUUUAAGCAUAUCAAUAAGCGGAGGAGAAGAAACUUACGAGGAUUCCCCUAGUAACGGCGAGU